rnacentral:lncRNA from 1 species
CACACGUAUAUAUAACCUCCACUCCGCAGUUUCUGGUGUCAAAUAGUAGGUCCUGGGAUCAUUAAACGGACCGCGUUAGUAGGGUGAUACUAGCUUUUGGACGCGGUGUCCUUUUCGAUCAGUCGGCUGAUAAAAGGCAGUGUGAGAGGAUGGCUAUGUUCUCAAUGUGGUUGCUCCCGAUCUGUCUCUGGCUGGUUCUUUGCAACGCGGGUGAUCAUGUGAAUUGCGCUGAACAUCGACCAGUAGCGCAAACGCUCUCAACAGCUGUAGGACUUCCACCGUCCUCCAAUCAGGUACUUAUAAAACUCAACAGAUAGUAUUCGAUACAUCGCAGAUGUGAGAUUGUAUCGAUAUCGAUCGGUUCAACAUGUAAAAAUAGCCUCAAAAGUCAAUUUACAAAUCUGAGGGAACGGAUCUUUUGUGAUAGAAUUUUCAUUCUUUUGAGUAUCAAAUGCCAAUGAAAAGUGAAACUGUUAAGAAUUUUCUCAUUCUCAGUUUUUCCAACUUAAAUCCUAAAAUUUUUGUUUGAGGUUAUGUUUAAUUGUUGGUUGAACCAAACGAUACUUCGAACCAUUA